rnacentral:rRNA from 1 species
UACGAAAGGUGCAAGCGUUACUCGGAAUCACUGGGCGUAAAGCGCACGUAGGCGGACUUACAGGUCAAUUGUGAAAUACCUGGCUCAACCCAGGAACUGCAGUUGAAACCGUUUGUCUUGAAUACUUGAGAGGGUGGGGAAUACCUGGUGGAGAAGUGAAUCGUAGAGAUCAGGUGGAACACCGGAGGCGAAGCGCCACUC